rnacentral:rRNA from 1 species
UACAGAGGGGGCAAGCGUUAUUCGGAAUUAUUGGGCGUAAAGGGCGCGUAGGCGGCCUGCUAAGUCGAACGUGAAAUCCCCGGGCUCAACCCGGGAACUGCGUCCGAUACUGGUUGGCUUGAAUCCGGGAGAGGGAUGCGGAAUUCCAGGUGUAGCGGUGAAAUGCGUAGAUAUCUGGAGGAACACCGGUGGCGAAGGCGGCAUCCUGGACCGGCAUUGACGCUGAGGCGCGAAAGCCAGGGGAGCAAACGGG